UGAAAAGUGAUGAAUCGCUCGAUCUUGUGUGGGACUAAUGCGCAUAGAACAUAGACUUGAGAAAGUGGUGGUAAAUACCAUACUGGAAGGAGUAUUCUAUACUCUAUGUAGGGAAUAUAAUAAAACCUGUAAAUAAGCUGCAUCCAAUACGCUAAUGACAGUAUCGAAUAUUCCUGGCGUGUGACGCAAUCCCGUCGUAGCGACCAAAAUUUGUAUACAAUGCAAAGGCGUCAAAAUAGCCGGAAUUUUAAAACCAACAGUCUUGAAAACUUUAAACUCCGAAGAAAAUAUUGUGUUUCGUGUAUAUUCGUGAUCCUUGUCAAUCCUUUGGAGUACACAGAGUACCUGUGACGAAGAAAAAAAAAAUUUGAGUCCAGGUUUCCUCAGAUAAUAAACCAUUUUCGUACUCCGUUCUGUACACUUCACUAAAGUGAUUGUACAUGAAUUGGUCAUAUAAAGACACAGUGAG